ACGUAGGAGGCAAGCGUUAUCCGGAGUUACUGGGCGUAAAGCGCGUGCAGGCGGUUCGGUAUGUUGGGCGUGAAAUCUCCCGGCUCAACUGGGAGAGGUCGUUCAAUACUACCGGACUUGAGAGCGAUAGAGGAAAAUGGAAUUCCCGGUGUAGUGGUGAAAUGCGUAGAGAUCCGGAGGAACCCCAGUGGCGAAGGCGACCUGCUCGGCCUUGCCUGACGCUCAGACGCGAAAGCAUGGGGAGCGAACGG
rnacentral:rRNA from 1 species